rnacentral:rRNA from 1 species
GAUGAACGCUGGCGGCGUGCCUAAUACAUGCAAGUCGAGCGAACAGAUGAGGAGCUUGCUCCUCUGACGUUAGCGGCGGACGGGUGAGUAACACGUGGAUAACCUACCUAUAAGACUGGGAUAACUUCGGGAAACCGGAGCUAAUACCGGAUAAUAUAUUGAACCGCAUGGUUCAAUAGUGAAAGACGGUUUUGCUGUCACUUAUAGAUGGAUCCGCGCCGCAUUAGCUAGUUGGUAAGGUAACGGCCUACCAAGGGAAGUAUGCGUAGCCGACCUGAGAGGGUGAUCGGCCACCCUGGAGCUGGGCCACGGUCCAGACUCCUACGGGAGGCACCAGUAGGGAAUCUUCCGCAAUGGGCGAAAACCUGGCGGAGCAACGCCGAGUGAGUGAUGAAGGUCUUCGGAUCGUAAAGCUCUGUUAUUAGGGAUGAACAAAUGUGUAAGUAACUAUGCACGUCUUGACGGUACCUAAUCAGAAAGCCACGGCUAACUACGUG